GCACUCGUAGCUCAGCUGGAUAGAGCGUUCGUCUACGGAACGAAAGGUCUUGGGUUCGAAUCCCCACGAGUGCACCA
rnacentral:tRNA from 1 species